rnacentral:rRNA from 1 species
GACCCGUGAUCCGGGUUGCGGACAGUGUCUGGUGGGUAGUUUGACUGGGGCGGUCUCCUCCUAAAGAGUAACGGAGGAGCACGAAGGUUGGCUAAUCCUGGUCGGACAUCAGGAGGUUAGUGCAAUGGCAUAAGCCAGCUUGACUGCGAGCGUGACGGCGCGAGCAGGUGCGAAAGCAGGUCAUAGUGAUCCGGUGGUUCUGAAUGGAAGGGCCAUCGCUCAACGGAUAAAAGGUACUCCGGGGAUAACAGGCUGAUACCGCCCAAGAGUUCAUAUCGACGGCGGUGUUUGGCACCUCGAUGUCGGCUCAUCACAUCCUGGGGCUGAAGUAGGUCCCAAGGGUAUGGCUGUUCGCCAUUUAAAGUGGUACGCGAGCUGGGUUUAGAACGUCGUGAGACAGUUCGGUCCCUAUCUGCCGUGGGCGCUGGAGAACUGAGGGGGGCUGCUCCUAGUACGAGAGGACCGGAGUGGACGCAUCACUGGUGUUCGGGUUGUCAUGCCAAUGGCACUGCCCGGUAGCUAAAUGCGGAAGAGAUAAGUGCUGAAAGCAUCUAAGCACGAAACUUGCCCCGAGAUGAGUUCUCCCUGACUCCUUGAGAGUCCUGAAGGAACGUUGAAGACGACGACGUUGAUAGGCCGGGUGUGUAAGCGCAGCGAUGCGUUGAGCUAACCGGUACUAAUGAACCGUGAGGCUUAACCUUACAACGCCGAAGGUGUUU